rnacentral:tRNA from 1 species
UGUUCUGUGGCGGAGUUGGUUACGCGCCCUGUCUAGCGAACUUGGGGAGACGUGGGUUCAAAUCCCACCAGAACUA